rnacentral:lncRNA from 1 species
AGAGUUUUCACAGUCCACUGAACAUAGAAAAUGAAAGUGUGAGUGGGGUAUCUGUGUACUAUGGACACACAUUCUUGUUUCAAUAUAAAGUGCUUUGCCUAUUCACCAGUCUAAAGUUGGCAGAAAGGUAUUAUAACGGUAUUAUUUUUAGGCUCUAUUUGUAUAGGCAUGUAAUUAAUUUCUCAAAUGACUUCGAUUUUAUGUUAAAAUAUCUGCAGGGUAAAGAUAUAUCUUGCCAGAAAUGUAUACUGUAGAUUAUAUUAGUCCUUAUCAUUUGUCUGUUGUUAUUUUAGGGUAAUUAAAGAUGGGAUCUUUGAUUUGACUUUUUGACACAUUUUUGUGUAAAGCUAAAAAGACCAUUUCAAGAAUACUCAUUCCUCAUUUACACAUUUGUUUCUGUUAACACAUUGUAUAUCAUUGCAUAUUGAAUUUUCUAUUUUAUCUACUAUAAAUUCAGAAAUUAUUGCAUGUAUUUAUUAUUGCGAUUUUUUAAAGAAAAG